rnacentral:rRNA from 1 species
GGUUAAGCGACUAAGCGUACACGGUGGAUGCCCUGGCAGUCAGAGGCGAUGAAGGACGUGCUAAUCUGCGAUAAGCGUCGGUAAGGUGAUAUGAACCGUUAUAACCGGCGAUUUCCGAAUGGGGAAACCCAGUGUGAUUCGUCACACUAUCAUUAACUGAAUCCAUAGGUUAAUGAGGCGAACCGGGGGAACUGAAACAUCUAAGUACCCCGAGGAAAAGAAAUCAACCGAGAUUCCCCCAGUAGCGGCGAGCGAACGGGGAGCAGCCCAGAGCCUGAAUCAGUGUGUGUGUUAGUGGAAGCGUCUGGAAAGGCGUGCGAUACAGGGUGACAGCCCCGUACACAAAAAUGCACAUACUGUGAGCUCGAUGAGUAGGGCGGGACACGUGGUAUCCUGUCUGAAUAUGGGGGGACCAUCCUCCAAGGCUAAAUACUCCUGACUGACCGAUAGUGAACCAGUACCGUGAGGGAAAGGCGAAAAGAACCCCGGCGAGGGGAGUGAAAAAGAACCUGAAACCGUGUACGUACAAGCAGUGGGAGCACGCUUAGGCGUGUGACUGCGUACCUUUUGUAUAAUGGGUCAGCGACUUAUAUUCUGUAGCAAGGUUAACCGAAUAGGGGAGCCGAAGGGAAACCGAGUCUUAACUGGGCGUUAAGUUGCAGGGUAUAGACCCGAAACCCGGUGAUCUAGCCAUGGGCAGGUUGAAGGUUGGGUAACACUAACUGGAGGACCGAACCGACUAAUGUUGAAAAAUUAGCGGAUGACUUGUGGCUGGGGGUGAAAGGCCAAUCAAACCGGGAGAUAGCUGGUUCUCCCCGAAAGCUAUUUAGGUAGCGCCUCGUGAAUUCAUCUCCGGGGGUAGAGCACUGUUUCGGCAAGGGGGUCAUCCCGACUUACCAACCCGAUGCAAACUGCGAAUACCGGAGAAUGUUAUCACGGGAGACACACGGCGGGUGCUAACGUCCGUCGUGAAGAGGGAAACAACCCAGACCGCCAGCUAAGGUCCCAAAGUCAUGGUUAAGUGGGAAACGAUGUGGGAAGGCCCAGACAGCCAGGAUGUUGGCUUAGAAGCAGCCAUCAUUUAAAGAAAGCGUAAUAGCUCACUGGUCGAGUCGGCCUGCGCGGAAGAUGUAACGGGGCUAAACCAUGCACCGAAGCUGCGGCAGCGACGCUUAUGCGUUGUUGGGUAGGGGAGCGUUCUGUAAGCCUGUGAAGGUGUGCUGUGAGGUAUGCUGGAGGUAUCAGAAGUGCGAAUGCUGACAUAAGUAACGAUAAAGCGGGUGAAAAGCCCGCUCGCCGGAAGACCAAGGGUUCCUGUCCAACGUUAAUCGGGGCAGGGUGAGUCGACCCCUAAGGCGAGGCCGAAA